ACCCGGAUAGCUCAGUCAGUAGAGCAUCAGACUUUUAAUCCGAGGGUCCAAGGUUCAUAUCCCUUUUUGAGUG
rfam:Chlorocebus sabaeus isolate 1994-021 chromosome 11, whole genome shotgun sequence.